GACGAACGCUGGCGGCGUGCUUAACACAUGCAAGUCGAACGGUGAAGCUCCAGCUUGCUGGAGUGGAUCAGUGGCGAACGGGUGAGUAACACGUGAGCAACCUGCCCCUGACUCUGGAAUAAGCGCUGGAAACGGCGUCUAAUACUGGAUACGAGAAGGGUCCGCAUGGGCACUUUCUGGAAAGUUUUUCGGUUGGGGAUGGGCUCGCGGCCUAUCAGCUUGUUGGUGAGGUAAUGGCUCACCAAGGCGACGACGGGUAGCCGGCCUGAGAGGGCGACCGGCCACACUGGGACUGAGACACGGCCCAGACUCCUACGGGAGGCAGCAGUGGGGAAUAUUGCACAAUGGGCGAAAGCCUGAUGCAGCGACGCCGCGUGAGGGAUGACGGCCUUCGGGUUGUAAACCUCUUUCAGCAGGGUAGAAGCGAAAGUGACGGUACCUGCAGAAGAAGCACCGGCUAACUACGUG
rnacentral:rRNA from 1 species